rnacentral:snRNA from 1 species
GAAUGAGAGGGUGAUCUGGCUGGCUAGGCGGGUUGUCCCCUUCCUCCCUCACUGCUCCAGGUGUGUCCCUCCCGAAGCUGCACGCUCGGUCGAAGAGGAUGGCCUUCCCCGAAUAGAGAUGGACCUGUCUUUGAUCAGUAGUAGUUUGAUUGAGUAGUUGUGCUCCCAAAUAGGACCUCCAAACAGGCUCUCAAAUUAUAAAGUCAAAAUCCUGUCAUUUCAGAGUGUAUAAAGAUACAAAACGGUUAU